UGCGUUUGUGGAAUUCUGUAGUUAGACAAAAGUUGCUAAGCUGCUUACUGAAAGCACCAUUUAAAUUGAAUUUGCAAGUUUUGGUAUUGGAGCUGGAGGUGGCCGAAGCAAGCCACAGGAUUCGCCUCAAUCAGCGCUGAUGGAAACGGAGGCUCUCGAUUCAGAAGCAGAAGCUCAGGAUGUGCACAAGCCAAUGCUUCGGGUGACGGUGACGAAGAGGGCGAGGGUGCCUGGCUGCCUGGCAAGGAUCCAGCAAACGGUUUUGAAAUAUUCUCAAUCCACAGCACAAACUGCACAAACGAACAUAAAAAA